rnacentral:rRNA from 1 species
GACGAACCGUGCAAACGUUAUUCGGCAUCACUGGGCUUAAAGCGCGUGUAGGCGGAUGGGAACGUCGGAACCUGAAAGCCCCCGGCUCAACCGGGGAAGUGGGGCCGAAACUGCAUGGCUUGAGUACCGGAGAGGAUGGCGGAAUUCCCCAAGUAGAGGUGAAAUUCGUAGAUAUGGGGAGGAACACCGGUGGCGAAGGCGGCCAUCUGGACGGAUACUGACGCUGAGACGCGAAAGCGUGGGGAGCAAACAGG